GAAGAGAGAGAAAGAAAACAAACAAAGAAAUCGAGACAUAUUCGUGUUUGUUCGGUGGGUGGAAGAGGGAGAGGAUGGGGGGGAGGAGAAAGAGAAGAGAAAGAAGG
rnacentral:ribozyme from 1 species